AUGCCAUAAUGAGGACAUCUCCUGAGUAACUCUUUGAACUUUUCCCAUGCAUCAUACAAGCUCUCAUCUUCAAGUUGAUGGAAGGAUGUGAUCUCAUUUCUUAAUUU
rnacentral:snoRNA from 1 species